rnacentral:rRNA from 1 species
GGAUGCGAUCAUACUAGCACUAAAGCACCGUAUCCCAUCAGAACUCCGAAGUUAAGCGUGCUUGGGCGAGAGUAGUACUAGGAUGGGUGACCUCUUGGGAAGUCCUCAUGUUGCAUUCC